CAGCAGCCACGGGAAUACGUAGGUGGCAAGCGUUGUCCGGAGUUAUUGGGCGUAAAGGGCUCGCAGGCGGUUUCUUAAGUCUGAUGUGAAAGCCCCCGGCUCAACCGGGGAGGGUCAUUGGAAACUGGGAAACUUGAGUGCAGAAGAGGAGAGUGGAAUUCCACGUGUAGCGGUGAAAUGCGUAGAGAUGUGGAGGAACACCAGUGGCGAAGGCGACUCACUGGUCUGUAACUGACGCUGAGGAGCGAAAGCGUGGGGAGCGAACAGGAUUAGAGACCCGAGUAGUCCCUGUCUCUUAUAC
rnacentral:rRNA from 1 species